GGAUUCCUCCGUAAGAUCCGUCCACGGAGGGUGAGUUAGGGGCCUAAGAUCAGGCCAAAAGACAUAGUCGAUGGACAAUAGCUGAAUAUUCCUGUACUACCCAUUUUUGUCUAUCAUUAGGAAAUAAUCUAUUUUUUGUUGUCCCAUCAUAAAGCUCCAUCUCGAGGGUAUUUUUAAAUUACAACUAUAAGUUAAAUGCUAAAUUUGAAAAAAAUUCUUGAAAAUUUUGGACACGAAAAAUUAUCUAUUCC
rnacentral:ncRNA from 1 species